rnacentral:rRNA from 1 species
GACGAACGCUGGCGGCGUGCUUAACACAUGCAAGUCGAACGGAAAGGCCCUGCUUUUGUGGGGUGCUCGAGUGGCGAACGGGUGAGUAACACGUGAGUAACCUGCCCUUGACUUUGGGAUAACUUCAGGAAACUGGGGCUAAUACCGGAUAUGAGCUCCUGCUGCAUGGUGGGGGUUGGAAAGUUUCGGCGGUUGGGGAUGGACUCGCGGCUUAUCCGCUUGUUGGUGGGGUAGUGGCUUACCAAGGCUUUGACGGGUAGCCGGCCUGAGAGGGGGACCGGCCACAGUGGGACUGAGAGACGGCCCAGACGCCUAUGGGAGGCAGCAGGGGGGAAUAUGGCAGAAUGGGGGGAAGCCUGAGGCAGCAACGCCGGGAGCGGGAUGACGGCUUUCGGGUGGUAAACCGAUUUCGCCUGUGACGAAGCGUGAGUGACGGUAAUGGGUAAAGAAGCACCGGCUAACUACGUG